rnacentral:rRNA from 1 species
AGUAAAGCGGCGGACGGGUGAGUAACAUGUGGGUAAUCUGCCCUUCGAUGGGGGACAACAAUCCGAAAGGAUUGCUAAUACCGCGUACGUCGCCGGGUCCUGCGGGGACCUGGCGGGAAAGCCGGCCUCUACUUGUAAGCUGGCGUCGAAGGAGGAGCCCGCAUCCCAUCAGCUAGUUGGCGGGGUAACGGCCCACCAAGGCAAAGACGGGUAGCUGGUCUGAGAGGAUGAUCAGCCACACUGGGACUGAGACACGGCCCAGACUCCUACGGGAGGCAGCAGUGGGGAAUAUUGGACAAUGGGCGCAAGCCUGAUCCAGCCAUGCCGCGUGAGUGAUGAAGGCCUUCGGGUCGUAAAGCUCUGUGGGGAGGGACGAAACACCUCGACCUAACACGUCGAGGUUUGACGGUACCUCUUUAGCAAGCACCGGCUAACUCCGUGCCAGCAGCCGCGGUAA